rnacentral:rRNA from 1 species
AGUGAACGCUGGCGGUAGGCCUAACACAUGCAAGUCGAACGGCAGCACAGUAAGAGCUUGCUCUUACGGGUGGCGAGUGGCGGACGGGUGAGGAAUACAUCGGAAUCUACUUUUUCGUGGGGGAUAACGUAGGGAAACUUACGCUAAUACCGCAUACGACCUACGGGUGAAAGCAGGGGAUCUUCGGACCUUGCGCGAUUGAAUGAGCCGAUGUCGGAUUAGCUAGUUGGCGGGGUAAAGGCCCACCAAGGCGACGAUCCGUAGCUGGUCUGAGAGGAUGAUCAGCCACACUGGAACUGAGACACGGUCCAGACUCCUACGGGAGGCAGCAGUGGGGAAUAUUGGACAAUGGGCGCAAGCCUGAUCCAGCCAUACCGCGUGGGUGAAGAAGGCCUUCGGGUUGUAAAGCCCUUUUGUUGGGAAAGAAAAGCAGCAGGUUAAUACCCCGCUGUUCUGACGGUACCCAAAGAACAAGCACCGGCGAACUUCGU